rnacentral:rRNA from 1 species
CCUACGGGUGGCUGCAGUGGGGAAUAUUGCACAAUGGGGGAAACCCUGAUGCAGCAACGCCGCGUGAGUGAGGAAGUAUUUCGGGAUGUAAAGCUCUAUCAGCAGGGAAUAGAAAAGAAGCUACCUGAAAAAGAAACGCCAGCUAACUACACGCCAGCAGCGGCGGUAAUACGUAGGGGGCAAGCGUUAUCCGGAUUUACUGGGUGUAAAGGGAGCGUAGACGGAAAGGCAAGUCAGAAGUGAAAACCCAGGGCUCAACCAUGGGAUUGCUUUUGAAACUGUCAAACUAGAGUACGGGAGAGGUAAGCGGAAUUCCUAGUGUAGCGGUGAAAUGCGUAGAUAUUCGGAGGAACACCAGUGGCGAAGGCGUCUUACUGGACAGAAACUGACGUUGAGGCUCGAAAGCGUGGGGAGCAAACAGGAUUAGAUACCCCGGUAGUA